AGCUCCAAUAGCGUAUAUUAAAGUUGUUGCAGUUAAAAAGCUCGUAGUUGGAUUUCUGGUAUGGUGCGCCUGGUCCGCCCCGUUUAGGUGUGUGAGUACCGGCGUGCGCCUGCCAUCCUUCUAGAGAGCGGCUCUGCCCUUCACUGGGUUGGGGUCGCGAUCUAGAUCGUUUACUUUGAACAAAUUAGAGUGUUUCAAGCAGGCCGUAGCGCUUCUGAAUACAUUAGCAUGGAAUAAUAAGAUAGGACUUGGGUUCUAUUUUGUUGGUUUCUAGGACCGAAGUAAUGAUUGAUAGGGACCGUUGGGGGUGCUAGUAUUCCGCGGCCAGAGGUGAAAUUCUUGGAUUCGCGGAAGACUCACUAAUGCGAAAGCAUUCACCAAGGAGGUCUCCUUUAAUCAA
rnacentral:rRNA from 1 species